GGACGCGUAGCUCAGCUGGUUAGAGCGUUUCGUUGACAUCGAAAAGGUCCCCCGUUCGAGUCGGGGCGCGUCCA
rnacentral:tRNA from 1 species